GGGUGAUUGGCUUUAGUACAAGUGAAAGAUUGAAAGAAUAGUAUCUUACAAGCCAAUUGCAUGGAUGAUGCGAUAGAACUAUUCUGUAUAAUCUUCCUACUCAUCUAUAUGACAUUCAUUAUUUUAUAUAUAUGAGGUAUUGUGUUUCAUCAUUUGCUGUAUCAUAUUUUAUUUAUGAUUAUGAUGAACUUCAUAUUGGGUUCUAGUGGC
rnacentral:lncRNA from 1 species